GGAGGAGGAAAGAGAUAUGAGGAGGAAGAGAAGAAGGAUGGAAUGAAGAGGAAGAAGAAAAGGAGUUGACGAUCCAAAGGCCUGACUCCACAGCGGUAAUGAGCCUUGUGUACCUUGCACUGUCUUCACUGACAACGCCCACUACUAACCCCUCUGCCUCCGCCACCGUUUCAAGAUCAGGGAAGGACUCUGCCUUGCAUCGCGCACUGUGAUGGUCGCCGCCCCCGCCCCCGCACCCGCCGCCGCCGCUGCUGCUGCUGCUGCUGCUGCGCUAAGGGAGAAUAGUUUGUUGAGUGGAUGACGGCGCGUUCACUGACCCUCUCCCCAUCACCCUACCAACUCCGGCCACCCACCCCCCUGCCACCAGACACCUGCUACACCACCACUACCGCCGGCUCCGUCCAGUGAAAGAUUCAUCGCAGACCUGCCAUUCAACGCCUGCCGCCGCCGCCGCCACCACCACCACCUCCUUAUGGUGGUGUCACUGUACCUGGAGCUGUUGUCAUGAUUGAAUAAUAAAUUGUGAAGAAAU